AGGUGGCCUGUAACUCAGUGGUAGAGCAUCUGUUUUGCAAGUAGAAAGUCCCAGGUACAUUUCCUGGCACAUCCA